rnacentral:tRNA from 1 species
GUUUAAAUAGUUUAAUAAAAACGUUGGUUUGUGGUGCCAAAAUUAUAAGUGAUUUAUUUUAAACC